UGCAGUCGAACGAUGAACCACUUCGGUGGGGAUUAGUGGCGAACGGGUGAGUAACACGUGGGCAAUCUGCCCUUCACUCUGGGACAAGCCCUGGAAACGGGGUCUAAUACCGGAUAACACCUUCCCUCUCCUGGGGGUGGGUUGAAAGCUCCGGCGGUGAAGGAUGAGCCCGCGGCCUAUCAGCUUGUUGGUGGGGUAAUGGCCUACCAAGGCGACGACGGGUAGCCGGCCUGAGAGGGCGACCGGCCACACUGGGACUGAGACACGGCCCAGACUCCUACGGGAGGCAGCAGUGGGGAAUAUUGCACAAUGGGCGCAAGCCUGAUGCAGCGACGCCGCGUGAGGGAUGACGGCCUUCGGGUUGUAAACCUCUUUCAGCAGGGAAGAAGCGCAAGUGACGGUACCUGCAGAAGAAGCGCCGGCUAACUACGUGCCAGCAGCCGCGGUAAUACGUAGGGCGCAAGCGUUGUCCGGAAUUAUUGGGCGUAAAGAGCUCGUAGGCGGCUUGUCACGUCGGGUGUGAAAGACCGGGGCUCAACUCCGGUUCUGCAUUCGAUACGGGCAGGCUAGAGUGUGGUAGGGGAGAUCGGAAUUCCUGGUGUAGCGGUGAAAUGCGCAGAUAUCAGGAGGAACACCGGUGGCGAAGGCGGAUCUCUGGGCCAUUACUGACGCUGAGGAGCGAAAGCGUGGGGAGCGAACAGGAUUAGAUACCCUGGUAGUCCACGCCGUAAACGUUGGGAACUAGGUGUUGGCGACAUUCCACGUCGUCGGUGCCGCAGCUAACGCAUUAAGUUCCCCGCC
rnacentral:rRNA from 1 species